UACGUAGGGGGCAAGCGUUGUCCGGAAUUAUUGGGCGUAAAGCGCGCGCAGGCGGUUUCUUAAGUCUGAUGUGAAAGCCCACGGCUCAACCGUGGAGGGUCAUUGGAAAAUGGGGGACUUGAGUGUAGGAGAGGAAAGUGGAAUUCCACGUGUAGCGGUGAAAUGCGUAGAUAUGUGGAGGAACACCAGUGGCGAAGGCGGCUUUCUGGCCUAUAACUGACGCUGAGGCGCGAAAGCAUGGGGAGCGAACAGG
rnacentral:misc_RNA from 1 species